AUAGAGUGGCGAACGGGUGAGUAACACGUGACCAACCUGCCCCCUUCACCGGGAUAACCCAGGGAAACCUGCGCUAAUACCGGAUACUCCGCAUGGGCCGCAUGGCCCUUGCGGGAAAGCUCCGGCGGAAGGGGAUGGGGUCGCGGCCCAUUAGGUAGUUGGCGGGGUAACGGCCCACCAAGCCCGCGAUGGGUAGCCGGGUUGAGAGACCGAUCGGCCACAUUGGGACUGAGAUACGGCCCAGACUCCUACGGGAGGCAGCAGUGGGGAAUUUUGCGCAAUGGGGGAAACCCUGACGCAGCAACGCCGCGUGCGGGACGAAGGCCUUCGGGUUGUAAACCGCUUUCAGCAGGGAAUAUCGUGAAGGUACCUGCAGAAGAAGCUCCGGCUAACUACGUGCCAGCAGCCGCGGUAAUACGUAGGGAGCGAGCGUUAUCCGGAUUCAUUGGGCGUAAAGCGCGCGUAGGCGGCCCGUCAAGCGGGGUUUCAAAUCCAGGGGCUCAACCUCUGGCCGGACCCCGAACUGGCGGGCUCGAGUGCGGUAGAGGAAGGUGGAAUUCCCAGUGUAGCGGUGAAAUGCGCAGAUAUUGGGAAGAACACCGAUGGCGAAGGCAGCCUUCUGGGCCGCCACUGACGCUGAGGCGCGAAAGCUAGGGGAGCGAACAGGAUUAGAUACCCUGGUAGUCCUAGCCGUAAACGAUGGGCACUAGGUGUGGGGGAGCAUCUCCUCCGUGCCGCAGCCAACGCAUUAAGUGCCCCGCCUGGGGAGUACGGCCGCAAGGCUAAAACUCAAAG
rnacentral:rRNA from 1 species